UCCAGUAAAAAUGCAAGAAGUUCCUACGGGAAAAUAAAUGGCUCCUCAUCAUUCAACACCAAGGAUACUCAACAAUUAUAAACAAACAGAAGACAAGGAAAAACAUGAAACUCAUCAUGUCCACAUAAGUAUGCUGUCUGAUUUGUUGGAACUAAACCACUAAAAGAAUUACCUCUACAUCAUAUAUCAUAUCAUAUGACAAAAUCAUGAGUUUCAAUAAGUAGCUCAAUAAAAAAUUCAAUAUAUAAAGUAUAAGUUCAAACUGAUACAGUAUGAAAUACAAGCAACAGCUAAGUGUGUUACUUUCCUCAUUCUUAAAA
rnacentral:misc_RNA from 1 species